AGUCGAGCGGAUGAGAAGAGCUUGCUCUUCGAUUCAGCGGCGGACGGGUGAGUAAUGCCUAGGAAUCUGCCUGGUAGUGGGGGACAACGUUUCGAAAGGAACGCUAAUACCGCAUACGUCCUACGGGAGAAAGCAGGGGACCUUCGGGCCUUGCGCUAUCAGAUGAGCCUAGGUCGGAUUAGCUAGUUGGUGAGGUAAUGGCUCACCAAGGCGACGAUCCGUAACUGGUCUGAGAGGAUGAUCAGUCACACUGGAACUGAGACACGGUCCAGACUCCUACGGGGGGCAGCAGUGGGGAAUAUUGGACAAUGGGCGAAAGCCUGAUCCAGCCAUGCCGCGUGUGUGAAGAAGGUCUUCGGAUUGUAAAGCACUUUAAGUUGGGAGGAAGGGCAGUAAGUUAAUACCUUGCUGUUUUGACGUUACCGACAGAAUAAGCACCGGCUAACUCUGUGCCAGCAGCCGCGGUAAUACAGAGGGUGCAAGCGUUAAUCGGAAUUACUGGGCGUAAAGCGCGCGUAGGUGGUUCGUUAAGUUGGAUGUGAAAGCCCCGGGCUCAACCUGGGAACUGCAUCCAAAACUGGCGAGCUAGAGUAUGGUAGAGGGUGGUGGAAUUUCCUGUGUAGCGGUGAAAUGCGUAGAUAUAGGAAGGAACACCAGUGGCGAAGGCGACCACCUGGACUGAUAC
rnacentral:rRNA from 1 species